UACGUAGGGUGCAAGCGUUAAUCGGAAUUACUGGGCGUAAAGCGUGCGCAGGCGGCUGUGCAAGACAGAUGUGAAAUCCCCGGGCUUAACCUGGGAAUUGCAUUUGUGACUGUACGGCUAGAGUGUGUCAGAGGGGGGUAGAAUUCCACGUAUAGCAGUGAAAUGCGUAGAGAUGUGGAGGAAUACCGAUGGCGAAGGCAGCCCCCUGGGAUAACACUGACGCUCAUGCACGAAAGCGUGGGGAGCAAACAGG
rnacentral:rRNA from 1 species